UGGGCGUAAGCGAGCGCAGGCGGUUUUUUAAGUCUGAUGUGAAAGCCCUCGGCUUAACCGAGGAAGCGCAUCGGAAACUGGGAAACUUGAGUGCAGAAGAGGACAGUGGAACUCCAUGUGUAGCGGUGAAAUGCGUAGAUAUAUGGAAGAACACCAGUGGCGAAGGCGGCUGUCUGGUCUGUAACUGACGCUGAGGCUCGAAAGCAUGGGUAGCGAACAGGAUUAGAUACCCUGGUAGUCCAUGCCGUAAACGAUGAAUGCUAGGUGUUGGAGGGUUUCCGCCCUUCAGUGCCGCAGCUAACGCAUUAAGCAUUCCGCCUGGGGAGUACGACCGCAAGGUUGAAACUCAAAGGAAUUGACGGGGGCCCGCACAAGCGGUGGAGCAUGUGGUUUAAUUCGAAGCAACGCGAAGAACCUUACCAGGUCUUGACAUCUUUUGAUCACCUGAGAGAUCAGGUUUCCCCUUCGGGGGCAAAAUGACAGGUGGUG
rnacentral:rRNA from 2 species